rnacentral:rRNA from 1 species
AGAGUUUGAUCCUGGCUCAGGAUGAACGCUAGCGGCAGGCCUAACACAUGCAAGUCGAGGGGUAGAAUGUCUUCGGAUGUUUGAGACCGGCGCACGGGUGCGUAACGCGUAUGCAACCUACCUCUUACUGGGGAAUAGCCCGGAGAAAUUCGGAUUAAUGCCCCAUAUGCUCGUACGACCUCAUGGUCGAGCGAGGAAAGCUCCGGCGGUAAGAGAUGGGCAUGCGUCCUAUUAGCUUGUUGGUGAGGUAACGGCUCACCAAGGCUACGAUAGGUAGGGGGCCUGAGAGGGUGACCCCCCACACUGGUACUGAGACACGGACCAGACUCCUACGGGAGGCAGCAGUGAGGAAUAUUGGGCAAUGGAGGCAACUCUGACCCAGCCAUGCCGCGUGCAGGAAGACGGCCCUAUGGGUUGUAAACUGCUUUUGUACGAGAAUAAACCUUUCCACGUGUGGAAAGCUGAAGGUACCGUACGAAUAAGGAUCGGCUAACUCCGUGCCAGCAGCCGCGGUAAUACGGAGGAUCCAAGCGUUAUCCGGAUUUAUUGGGUUUAAAGGGUCCGUAGGCGGGUCUUUAAGUCAGUGGUGAAAGCCUGCAGCUUAACUGUAGAAUUGCCAUUGAUACUGGAGACCUUGAGUGUAGUAGAAGUAGGCGGAAUAAGGCAUGUAGCGGUGAAAUGCAUAGAUAUGCCUUAGAACACCGAUUGCGAAGGCAGCUUACUAUGUUACAACUGACGCUGAGGGACGAAAGCGUGGGGAGCGAACAGGAUUAGAUACCCUGGUAGUCCACGCCGUAAACGAUGAUUACUCGCUGUUAGCGAUAUACAGUUAGCGGCCAAGCGAAAGCAUUAAGUAAUCCACCUGGGGAGUACGCCGGCAACGGUGAAACUCAAAGGAAUUGACGGGGGCCCGCACAAGCGGUGGAGCAUGUGGUUUA